AAAAACUCAAUUCCUGAGUUUCCGUGUUUAAUGUUUGACCGUCCGUCUUAUUUGAAAAAAAUAUGAAAAAAUUUAAAAAGAUAAGUCAUGCAUAAAGUAUUAUUCAUGUUUUAUCAUCUAACAAUAAUGAAAAUAUUAAUCAUAAAAAAUUUCAUAUAAGACGGUUGGUCAAACAUUGGACACGGAAACCCAAGAAUUGAGUCUUU
rnacentral:pre_miRNA from 1 species